rnacentral:rRNA from 1 species
UACGAAGGGGGCUAGCGUUGCUCGGAAUCACUGGGCGUAAAGGGUGCGUAGGCGGGUCUUUAAGUCAGGGGUGAAAUCCUGGAGCUCAACUCCAGAACUGCCUUUGAUACUGAGGAUCUUGAGUACGGGAGAGGUGAGUGGAACUGCGAGUGUAGAGGUGAAAUUCGUAGAUAUUCGCAAGAACACCAGUGGCGAAGGCGGCUCACUGGCCCGUAACUGACGCUGAGGCACGAAAGCGUGUGGAGCAAACAGG